GAAGCGGCAACAGCUCAAAUUUGAAAUCUGGCCUCUUUGGGGUCCGAGUUGUAAUUUGGAGAGGAUGUUUCGGGUACGGUCCGGGCUUAUAUUUCUUGGAACAGAAUGUCAUAGAGGGUGAGAAUCCCGUCUGGAGCUCGGACACGGCCUAUGUGAAACUCCUUCGACGAGUCGAGUUGUUUGGGAAUGCAGCUCUAAAUGGGUGGUAAAUUUCAUCUAAAGCUAAAUAUUGGCCAGAGACCGAUAGCGCACAAGUAGAGUGAUCGAAAGAUGAAAAGCACUUUGAAAAGAGAGUUAAAAAGUACGUGAAAUUGUUGAAAGGGAAGCGCUGGCAACCAGACUUGCAUGUCGGGGUUCCCCCUUGCUUUUGCCUGGGUUACUCCCCGGCGUUCAGGCCAACAUCGGUUUCGGGGGUUGGUUAAAGGCCCUAGGAAUGUACUUACCCUCCGGGGUAAACUUAUAGCCUAGGGUGUCAUGCGACCUCCCGGGACCGAGGAACGCGCUUCGGCUCGGAUGUUGGCGUAAUGGUUGUCAGCGACCCGUCUUGAAACACGGACCAAGGAGUCUAACAUCUAUGCGAGUGUUAGGGUGUCAAAUUACGAUAGGUUCACCUCCAGACUGGCCAAU
rnacentral:rRNA from 1 species